UAAUGGCUGAGCCAGGGAGAUUCUUUGCUGAAACUGCAUUCACGCUGGUGUCUAAUAUAAUUGGGAAACGGGUGAGAGGCGAGAAGAGAGAGUAUUGGAUUGAUGAUGGGAUCUACGGAUCCUUUAACCUUCCAGCAUAUGAUAAGUCGUCCAUGAUGGUGAAACCGCUGCUUGGAGGAUCAGAGUGGAUGAAUAAGGCUAAAUUCUGUUCGACUGUGUUUGGACCAAUGUGUGAUUCCAUGGACAUGGUGCUGGCUGAAUCUCAACUGCCGGAGCUGCAUAUGAAUGAUGUGCUGGUGUUCUAUAACAUGGGGGCAUACACUGCCUCUGCUGGAACCAGAUUCAAUGGCUUUGACAUAUCAUCAAUUUCCACCUUCCUGACGUAGUUUACAGGCCAUAAUUAAAUAAGGCAAAAACAGUACUCCCUCUGUGUGUCUUCCUCUCUGCCUGCACCUGCAUUUAAUUAUUUUCUUAGUGGAGCCAUAUCUGGCCUUUUUGCACGUCUUAUAAACGAAGAAAGCCUCCGUGUUGUCGCAUUGGAGAUUAGGUCAUAUUUCUUGUUGAAAGGAUUAAAAGAUUAGUAAAUGAGGAAUCCAUAAGUCUCCUUAUUUUAGUAACCUUGGUAUUUGUAUGGGCUGCAUUAAAGAAAAGCAAACCAACAGAUGAAGAAGGGCCCCAGGAGGAGGUAUGAUGUUCUAGAAAUUGCGCAUACCGAUAUUAUUUGUGACCCCUUUAAAAUAUGUUUAAAUGGCCAGGAUAGUUCUUCAACUUUAUUUUAUAUAUAUAUAUAUAUAUGAGAUGAGAGUGAAGCAUUAGAUUCUUUCAAAAUCAGUAAACUAUUGAAUAAACAAAUUAAGAUCAUAUGAUAAGAUGAGGUGAAGAAUAUUAUAACAGGUACACGUUUAAAGAAGCUAUCUAUAUAUAUAUGUGUGUGUGUGCACAUUAGAUUCUUUCAAAAUCCAUAAGGUAGAGACAGAUAAACAAUUGAGUAAACAAAUUAAGAUAAUACAGUAUGAUAGAGGUUGAGAAUAUGAUGGUAGGUAUAUUAAAGGAAGACACUUGGUCCAUUUGCAAGGUUGAGAAUAUGAUGGUGAAGCCGCUUCUUGGGGGAUCAGAGUGGAUGAAUAAGGCUAAAUUCUCUUCGACUGUGUUCGGACCAACGUGUGAUUCCACGGACAUGGUGGUGGCUGAAUCUCAACUGCCGGAGCUGCAUAUGAAUGAUGUGCUGGUGUUCUAUAACAUGGGGGCAUACACUGCCUCUGCUGGAACCAGAUUCAAUGGCUUUGACAUAUCAUCAAUUUCCACCUUCCUGACGUACGUUUACAGGCCAUAAUUAAAUAAGGCAAAAACAGUACUCCCUCUGUGUGUCCUGCACCUGCAUUUAAUUAUUUUCUUAGUGGAGCCAUAUCUGGCCUUUUUGCACGUCUUAUAAACGAAGAAAGCCUCCGUGUUGUCGCAUUGGAGAUUAGGUCAUAUUUCUUGUUGAAAGGAUUAAAAGAUUAGUAAAUGAUGAAUCCAUGAGUCUCCUUAUUUUAGUAACCUUGGUAUUUGUAUGGGCUGCAUUAAAGAAAAGUAAACCAACAUAAAGUAUAAAUCACUAGUAUGGAAUAAAAUUAUAAGAAAAAAAUCUCAUAUUUGUUACAUUUUAAUUAUAUUAGAGUAAUGAGUUUAUCGUUUUUAUUUCAUUGCUAAGGUAUCUUUGGUAGUUAAGAUUUGAAUUUAUAAGUAUUUUUUUAUAUUAAUUAUUGUACAAACUAAAAAAUUUUGAUUAAAAAUUAAAUUUAUGGUUUAAAAAGAAGAGCUAAAAAAAAUUGUAAAAGACAUUAAAAAUUAAUAAUAAUAUAUGUGUUAUUCAAUUGCAAAUAUUUUAAUACAAUAUAAUUUUUAUUUUAUACAAAUAUCAAACAUUGAAAAUAAUACAUAUUUCAUUUCGGUUUUUUAUUCAUGGUACAAAUUAAAUAUAAGUAUAACAUAAUAUAUUUCAUUACAUAUACUACUCAAAAAUAUCAUGUUCAUUUGAUAUAAUAUUUAAGAAUAUUAUAUUUUAUCUCUGAUAUCUCAAUAUAUACAUGUCUUAUAAUAUAUUUCAUUACAUAUACUAUUUAUCAAUAUAUACAUGUCUUCUAAUAUAUUUCAUUACAUAUACUAUUCAAAAAUAUUAUAUUUAAUCUUAAUUAGAAUAUUAUAUUUUAUCUAUCUUACAAAACAAAUGUAAUUUUAAAAUAUUGAGGAGUCCACUAAGGAGUAUAGUGAUGUUGCAUUACUAGCAUAAGCUUUAAGUGUAGUCACGGAAAUGAAAGUUUUAAGAAGUAGCAUUAUCAUAUUAUAAGUUUUUUCAUUGGCUUAAUUUUGAUCGGUUAUAAAAGUACGUAUAAAAUCGAAACUCAUCAUGUGUUUUAUUAUACGAUUUAUAAUUUUUUCCAUUGGCUUAGUUUUGAUUGGUCAUAAAGUACAAAAUCGAAAGUCAUCAUGUAUCGUAUCAUAUCAUUUAUAAUUUUUUUUCAUUGGUUUAGUUUUGAUCGGUUAUGAAAGUAUAAAAUCUAAACUCAUCAUGUGUCUUAUCAUAUCAUUUAUAAUUUUUUUCAUUGGUUUAGUUUUGAUCAGUUAUGAAAGUAUAAAAUUAAAAAUCAAAUUGAUCGAGUCAGUUUUCCCCAUUCUCAAAUUGAAUGAGCCGAGGAUUUGGCUGGAUUAGAUCAGUUUGGUGGAUUUUUACUUACACUCGUAAUUUUUCAGGUAUAAAUGCUUGGUUGUUUAAGUCAGUGUGGAGAGUUAGAGCCUGUGACGAGCAUUAAAGACCCAUUACUCUUCGUCAACCAGCCUCCCCCAGCCUGGAAGCAUGGUCAUGGUAGUAACAUAUAUUUAUAUAUAUGUGCCACCUCCACAGCCUGCAACGUACUCCUAUUGGGUAGAGCAUCCAAUCAAGAUAUUCAAAAAAUGUCGGCCUCCGCCAGCCUCCAACUCCGAUUGGGUGCGACCCAGCUCAAGGAUUGGGACGUUCACCGAGUAUCAGGAGAUGGAUUUACGGCUCUCAUCCGAUCAAUUUCACAGAAACAAAAGGAUCGUGAGCCAUUCUACAUAUUGGAUUUGGGAGCUGUAGUGAGGCUCAUGGACAUGUGGAAACAAGCUCUUCCCAACGUGGUGCCAUACUAUGCUGUUAAAUGCAAUUGCCAACCUCCAUUGAUCACUGCGCUUGCCUCACUGGGCGCAAACUUCGACUGCGCAAGUCGUGCUGAGAUUGAGACGGUGAUGGCACUUGGAGUUGGUGCCCAACAGAUUGUGUACGCCAAUCCAUGUAAGGGCGAGUCCCAUCUAAAGUACGCAGCCAGUGUGGGGGUCAACCUCACCACCUUCGACUCCAUGCAGGAGAUUGAUAAGAUUAUAAUGUGGCAUAAAAAAUGCGACUUGCUGCUUCGAAUCAAGGCUCCGAAUGAUGAGAAAGGUUCAUGGCGUUCGCUUGGAUCCAAAUUCGGAGCACUGCGGGAGGAGGUGGUGCCACUUCUUCAGCACGCCAAUGCAGCGGGGCUGAGGGUAAUUGGGGUGUCAUUCCACGUGGGGUCUAAAGUGAAUGACCCCCAAGUGUACCGUGGAGCAAUAGCUUCUGCUAGGGGUGUGUUCGACGCAGCUGCCCAGCUGAAGCUGCCUCCAAUGCAUGUUCUCGACAUUGGAGGGGGGUUCCAGGAAAGCCCAACGUUCCACGAAAUUGCUGCAGUCAUAAAGGAAGCCAUCAAUGAUUAUUUCCCAAGUUCUGAAACAUCUGAAGAUCUCAAGAUAAUGGCUGAGCCAGGGAGAUUCUUUGCUGAAACUGCAUUCACGCUGGUGUCUAAUAUAAUUGGGAAACGGGUGAGAGGCGAGAAGAGAGAGUAUUGGAUUGAUGAUGGGAUCUACGGAUCCUUUAACCUUCCAGCAUAUGAUAAGUCGUCCAUGAUGGUGAAACCGCUGCUUGGAGGAUCAGAGUGGAUGAAUAAGGCUAAAUUCUCUUCGACUGUGUUUGGACCAACGUGUGAUUCCAUGGACAUGGUGGUGGCUGAAUCUCAACUGCCGGAGCUGCAUAUGAAUGAUGUGCUAGUGUUCUAUAACAUGGGGGCAUACACUGCCUCUGCUGGAACCAGAUUCAAUGGCUUUGACAUAUCAUCAAUUUCCACCUUCCUGACGUACGUUUACAGGCAAUAUUAAUUAAAUAAGGCAAAAACAGUACUCCCUCUGUGUGUCUUCCUCUCUGCCUGCACCUGCAUUUAAUUAUUUUCUUAGUGGAGCCAUAUCUGGCCUUUUUGCACGUCUUAUAAACGAAGAAAUCCUCCUUGUUGUCGCAUGGGAGAUUAGGUCAUAUCUCUUGUUGAAAGGAUU
rnacentral:lncRNA from 1 species